rnacentral:rRNA from 1 species
AACGAACGCUGGCGGCAUGCCUAACACAUGCAAGUCGAACGAGACCUUCGGGUCUAGUGGCGCACGGGUGCGUAACGCGUGGGAACCUGCCCUUAGGUUCGGAAUAACUCCCCGAAAGGGGUGCUAAUACCGGAUAAUGUCUUCGGACCAAAGAUUUAUCGCCUUUGGUUGGGCCCGCGUUGGAUUAGCUAGUUGGUAGGGUAAAAGCCUACCAAGGCGACGAUCCAUAGCUGGUCUGAGAGGAUGAUCAGCCACACUGGGACUGAGACACGGCCCAGACUCCUACGGGAGGCAGCAGUGGGGAAUAUUGGACAAUGGGCGAAAGACUGAUCCAGCAAUGCCGCGUGAGUGAUGAAGGACUGAGGGUUGUAAAGCUCUUUUACCCGGGAUGAUAAUGACAGUACCGGGAGAAUAAGCUCCGGCUAACUCCGU